rnacentral:SRP_RNA from 1 species
GGGAGGACUUUGCUGGGAGGUUAGCGCUCUCCUGUAACUGUGAAUACGCUUUACACAGGGUGAAGCUGGAAAAGAGGCACUUUCCAAAACUAUCAGUCUUGGGCUCGACAAUGAGGCUUUGUCCUGUUUGGCUGGUGUUUUUGGGAAAUAGGUCAGGUCCGGAAGGAAGCAGCCUUAACCUUUGGCAUCGGUGCUUACAGAAAACAGGGCCAAGAAAAGCUCAGGGUUAACUGAUAGCGAGGAUCCUGCCCAUUUUCAAGCGCGUCCUCCC